UAUACGAAAUAUAUAUUUUUUAUAUUACAUUACAUCAAAAUUAAGAACACAUUCUAUAAAAAAUGGUUAAAGGUUACGAAACAUAUACAUAAUCCUUUAUAUCAUAUCAUUGUGCUUUUUAAUGUCCUUUCGGCCAAAGUUACGAAGUACAUAUGAUUAGGCAAAAUAAAAAUAAAUUCUUUUAUUUGGAAAUUUGGCUAAAUUAAAAAAGAAAUCUUUUAAAAAAGAUCCUGUAACCUGUAUCCUGUAAGCGUACCAGUCAUAUCCAAGAUUAUGUGCAGCAAGGCGACAGACCGUCAGCGCAGAUUCUAGGAUUGCAGGAUGCUCACAGGCAUGCUCAUCGGACACACAGCUCAUGUGAAGGACUGCGGAAAAUGAAAGGUUGCGGAUGUUCCAAAAACGCUUGCACACCUCCUGCGUAGCCUUGGCAGCGAUGAGGCUUAGGUACCUAGGAGUCCAUCUGCUGAAAACGCUUCAGGAUGCAGCCAAGCGAACAAUAUACCAACUCUUGACAUUCGUCUGAUACCCAUAUCCUGUAGUCGGUCUAUGUGGGAUGUUCCGGAUGUUCAAGAAACGCUUAGACACAUCCUGUGCAGCCUUGGUAACAAGGCAUAGCUACCCCAUCUAUGAAAUCGCUUCAGGAUGCAGCCAAGCGAACAAUUUAUCAACUCUUGAUGUCCUGUCAGAUAUAAGCCCCCGCUCCCGCACCCCACGGACGAAAAUCUGUCUGUGGGACUCCUAGUGGAUGGCCUGCUUAAACUAACCUAACCUAUAUCUAGAAAAUCUAACCAUUAUAUUUAACAAUUGCAAAGUAAUAACUUCUUUACAUCAAAAUUAA